rnacentral:sRNA from 1 species
UUGCGCAAGACAUGUUUAUUUGAGCAAUGUUAGCAAUCCUGUGUCGUCGCCCCGGGCCUAUGCUUAUCACCAGAAUCACUGCCCGGACAAGUGUCCAGUCUCGCAAUGUAGUUUCAGCGUCGAGACAGACACCCCAGUCCACUGCGGCCCGCCGAAUCAGGCCAGCCGCGGCCGACAAUCCCAUAGGGUUGCACCGGCCACCGGGCUACACGCUGUCCAGAAGACGGUGUGAGGUGAGCCGACGUCAAAAGCGUCGAGCAAGGACGAAGUUCUCAAGGGGAG